rnacentral:rRNA from 1 species
GAUGAACGCUAGCGGCAGGCCUAACACAUGCAAGUCGAGGGGCAGAACACUUCGGUGUUUGAGACCGGCGCACGGGUGCGUAACGCGUAUGCAAUCUACCUUAUACAGGGGAAUAGCCCAGAGAAAUUUGGAUUAAUGCCCCAUAGCAUUACGACUUGGCAUCAAGAUGUAAUUAAAGUUCCAACGGUAUAAGAUGAGCAUGCGUCCCAUUAGUUAGUUGGUAAGGUAACGGCUUACCAAGACGAUGAUGGGUAGGGGUCCUGCGAGGGAGAUCCCCCACACUGGUACUGAGACACGGACCAGACUCCUACGGGAGGCAGCAGUGAGGAAUAUUGGUCAAUGGUCGCAAGACUGAACCAGCCAUGCCGCGUGCAGGAAGACGGUCCUAUGGAUUGUAAACUGCUUUUAUACAGGAAGAAACCCUCCCACGUGUGGGAGCUUGACGGUACUGUAGGAAUAAGGAUCGGCUAACUCUGUGCCAGCCGCCGCGGUAA